CUUGGUUCUUUUAUUUCUCUUUUAAUUUUUAAUUUUUCCCUUUUUUCCAGAUUACAUAUUGAUACAAUUUUCAAUAACCAGUUUCUGACAUUUUGUGAUCCAUGUUUUCUCUGGCCUUCCCCUUCCCCUAGGAUGGCAGGUCAAGACAUCAACCACUUAGCAGCUCUUGGUAAUGUGGUCAGCUAUUGGUUGGAUUCCUCCUCUCUGACGUGUCAGAUAAUGAAAUCCAUCUUAGAGCAAGGCGAUGGAGACUAUUCCAGAAGAAAGAGAUUGAAAGAUCCAAGACCGAAACCUAAAUGAAACAACCAGGAGUCUAAGAUGAAAAGCAGAAAUUUCUUCAGAAGUUGAGGCCUCAUUUUAGCAACUCCAUACAUCACCAAACAGAACCUGAUUGUAAUGUAUGUGUACAGGAGGGGAAUAAUCUGUUUGAAACAUACAGGGAGGCAUGAGAAUGAACCUCGUUGGCAGUAUUGUGAAACGUACCAGCCUCUUUUCAAAAUAUAGGUUGCCUAUAUUAACAACUACAGGAUAUGCUAAAUUUCCAUAAGAAGAUAAAAAAAGUUAAGAUUUUUUUUAAUCUUAAGUUUUCAGAUUCCCAGAAAUCUAUCUAUUGACCACACACGGGGCUUCAUAUGUCCUGAGUUAAUAAUCCUUCUUUUAAAUUAUCUCAAAGGACCUUUCUUCUUUCUGAUCCUAUCAUUUUUUUUUCUGAAGGAAUAUCUUAAGGAGACCUAGAUUCAAAUACCAUCUCAAAAACUGUGUAAUACUUUACAAGUCAUUUUCUCUGCUUGAGCCUUAAUUUUCUUAUUUUAAAAAAUGGAAAUAAUAAUAGUACCUGCUGACUCUGUUCCAUUAAGUUCAAAAAUUAUGAUUGAUGAUCCUAUCUAAUAUUAUUUAAAUCAUUAAUUUAUGAUGUCUAUUCAGUCUGGCUGAUGAAUUAUUUGAGGCUGCACAUGAUGACCAUUGUCUACCAUAUCUUCAAUACUUUGGAAAUGGCAGCACAGUGUAAUAGAAGGAAAAUAGCUUGAAUUCCUUUACCUGAGUUUGAAUCUUGCCUCUGCCAUGUGCUUCUUAUCUCAAUAAGCCAUUCAUUGAAUCCCACCUCCUCACAUCUAAAAUAAAAUGUUUUGGAUACAGAACA
rnacentral:lncRNA from 1 species